rnacentral:rRNA from 1 species
AACCCAGACUCCUACGGGAGGCAGCAGUGAUUCCUCUUGGUCAAUUUGCUCGAGCCUGCCCCAGCCAAGUCGCGUGCGGGAAGACGGUCCUCUGGAUUGUCCACCUCUUUUGUCGGGGAGCAAAAGACGCCACGCGUGGCGUUCCGAGAGUACCCGAAGAAAAAGCAUCGGCUAACUCCGUGCCAGCAGCCGCGGUAAUACGGAGGAUGCGAGCGAUAUCCGGAUUUAUUGGGGGUAAAGGGUGCGCAGGCGGAAUGUCAAGUCAGCGGUAAAAGUUCGGGGCUCAACCCCGUCGUGCCGUGGAAACUGGCGUUCUUGAGUGAGCGAGAAGUAUGCGGAAUGCGUGGUGGAGCGGUGAAAUGCAG